AGUGAACGCUGGCGGUAGGCCUAACACAUGCAAGUCGAACGGCAGCACAGUAAGAGCUUGCUCUUACGGGUGGCGAGUGGCGGACGGGUGAGGAAUACAUCGGAAUCUACUUUUUCGUGGGGGAUAACGUAGGGAAACUUACGCUAAUACCGCAUACGACCUACGGGUGAAAGCAGGGGAUCUUCGGACCUUGCGCGAUUGAAUGAGCCGAUGUCGGAUUAGCUAGUUGGCGGGGUAAAAGCCCACCAAGGCGACGAUCCGUAGCUGGUCUGAGAGGAUGAUCAGCCACACUGGAACUGAGACACGGUCCAGACUCCUACGGGAGGCAGCAGUGGGGAAUAUUGGACAAUGGGCGCAAGCCUGAUCCAGCCAUACCGCGUGGGUGAAGAAGGCCUUCGGGUUGUAAAGCCCUUUGUUGGGAAAGAAAAGCAGCAGGUUAAUACCCCGCCGUUCUGACGGUACCCAAAGAAUAAGCACCGGCUAACUUCGUG
rnacentral:rRNA from 1 species